UAUUUUGACUUGAGUUCUGAAUAGAUAGCUCCUCAUUUGAUUGAUGUCAUGAGUUGAGCCUUGAGAUAUGAAUAUGUCUGUUUGAUUAUGAUUAUGAACCUAUGGUAUGUCAGUUAGAAUACCCAUGCUAACAGGGUAGUGUUAGUCUUUGUGCACAUCGUAUCUGAACCCUAGUUGGUCGGGGGAGUCACCAACCUGUGUGGACUGAUCAUCCCACAGUACGGAGCCUCAUGCUCAUUGCAUUUUGAUUUUCUGACGAGUUUUACCAUAUGAUCUUCUUGUUAUGGCCAAUUUGAGAACACUUCCAUAAGAACCUAAAGCCAUACUUGUAUAUAUAUUUCUCAUUGUUAUAUUACCUCGUGUGUGUAUAUUGAACGUUAUCUAUUCACUGAGUUGUUGAACUCACCAUCUCAUUAUUUAUCUUUUCAGGCUUAUAGCUUGAUAGCAGGUCAUUUUGUUGGACCUUCAGAACAUGCUUUUUGGUUGUACUUUGUACCUUUUCUUUAUGUCUAGUUAGUGCUCCAAAACUCUGA
rnacentral:lncRNA from 1 species